UACGUAGGGACCGAGCGUUGUCCGGAAUCAUUGGGCGUAAAGAGCGUGUAGGCGGCCUUUUAAGUCCUGCGUGAAAUCCUGCGGCUCAACUUCGAGCUGUCGGUGGAAACUAUCUGGCUAGAGUCCGGAAGAGGAGAAUGGAAUUCCUGGUGUAGCGGUGAAAUGCGUAGAUAUCCGGAGGAAUACCAAAGGCGAAGGCAGUGUCCUGGGGAGUGUCUGACGCUCAGGCGCGAAAGCUAGGGGAGCGAACAGG
rnacentral:rRNA from 1 species